GAUGAACGCUGGCGGCGUGCCUAAUACAUGCAAGUCGAGCGAACAGACGAGGAGCUUGCUUCUCUGACGUUAGCGGCGGACGGGUGAGUAACACGUGGAUAACCUACCUAUAAGACUGGGAUAACUUCGGGAAACCGGAGCUAAUACCGGAUAAUAUAUUGAACCGCAUGGUUCAAUAGUGAAAGACGGUUUUGCUGUCACUUAUAGAUGGAUCCGCGCCGCAUUAGCUAGUUGGUAAGGUAACGGCUUACCAAGGCAACGAUGCGUAGCCGACCUGAGAGGGUGAUCGGCCACACUGGAACUGAGACACGGUCCAGACUCCUACGGGAGGCAGCAGUAGGGAAUCUUCCGCAAAGGGCGAAAGCCUGACGGAGCAACGCCGCGUGAGUGAUGAAGGUCUUCGGAUCGUAAAACUCUGUUAUUAGGGAAGAACAAAUGUGUAAGUAACUGUGCACGUCUUGACGGUACCUAAUCAGAAAGCCACGGCUAACUACGUG
rnacentral:rRNA from 1 species